rnacentral:misc_RNA from 1 species
GAAGACAAGAAUGUUCUUUUCACCAUCCUUUUUAUCUAAACCAUAGGCAAUGGCUGCUGCAGUUGGUUCAUUAAUGAUUCUUGCAACAUUCAAACCAGCAAUGACACCGGCAUCCUUGGUUGCCUGCCUCUGGGCAUCAUUGAAAUAAGCUGGUACAGUUACAACGGCAUCCUUGAUUUUCUUUCCAAGGAAUGCUUCAGCUGUCUCCUUCAUCUUAGUGAGAAUCAUGGCACUUAUCUCCUCAGGACUGAAAACCUUAGUCUCCCCAUCCCUAAUCAUGACUUGUACAUAAGGCUUUCCGUCCUUGUUCACAAUCUUGUAUGGAACAAGCUUCAUAUCCUUCUGAACCUCCUUGUCCUCAAACUUUCUUCCGAUAAGUCUCUUUACAUCAAAGAUUGUCCUUUCGGCAUUGACAGCUGCCUGAUUCUUUGCAGCCUCACCGAUCAAUCUCUCAGUAUCAGUGAAUGCAACCCAUGAUGGGGUAAUUCGAUUACCCUGGUCAUUGGCUAUGAUUUCAACAUGACCGUUUCUGUAAACGCCCACACAAGAGUAUGUUGUACCAAGGUCUAUGCCAAUUACGGUUCCUAGCUUGGUUGCUUCCUCUUUCGCAAUGGAAAAUGCAAAUAAACUCCCGAAGAAAACCAUAGCUAGAACGAUUAGAGAAGCUCGUCGUCUGAAAGCAAAGGCCAUCGCGUAAAUCCUUCACCUUCUUCUUCUUCUUCUUCUUCUUC